GACGAACGCUGGCGGCGUGCUUAACACAUGCAAGUCGAACGGAAAGGCCCUGCUUUUGUGGGGUGCUCGAGUGGCGAACGGGUGAGUAACACGUGAGUAACCUGCCCUUUACUUUGUGAUAACUUCACGAAACUGGGGCUAAUACCGGAUAGGAGCUCCUGCUGCAUGGUGGGGGUUGGAAAGUUUCGGCGGUUGGGGAUGGACUCGCGGCUUAUCAGCUUGUUGGUGUGGUAGUGGCUUACCAAGGCUUCGACGGGUAGCCGGCCUGAGAGGGUGAACGGCCACAAUGGGACUGAGGUACGGCCCAGACUCCUACGGGAGGCAACAGUUGGGAAUAUUGCACAAUGGGCGGAAGCCUGAUGCAGCGACGCCGCGUUCGGGAUGACGGCCUUCGGGUUGUAAACCGCUUUCGCCUGUGACGAAGCGUGAGUGACGGUAAUGGGUAAAGAAGCACCGGCUAACUACGUG
rnacentral:rRNA from 1 species